GACGAACGCUGGCGGCGCGCUUAAUACAUGCAAGUCGAACGAGAAGCCAGAGCUUGCUCUGGUGGAAAGUGGCGAACGGGUGAGUAACACGUGAGAAACCUGCCCCAAAGAUUGGGAUAAGCCUUGGAAACGAGGUCUAAUACCAAAUACCUUCCUUUUAACACAUGUUAAAAAGAAGAAAUGCUCCGGCGCUUUGGGAUGGUCUCGCGAUCUAUCAGCUUGUUGGUGAGGUAACGGCUCACCAAGGCAUCGACGGAUAGCUGGUCUGAGAGGAUGUCCAGCCACAUUGGAACUGAGACACGGUCCAAACUCCUACGGGAGGCAGCAGUAGGGAAUCUUGCACAAUGAGGGAAACCUUGAUGCAGCGACGCCGCGUGCGGGACGAAGGGCCCCUAGGGUUGUAAACCGCUUUCAGUAGGGACGAAAGUGACGGUACCUACAGAAGAAGCCCCGGCCAACUAUGUGCCAGCAGCCGCGGUAAU
rnacentral:rRNA from 1 species